rnacentral:rRNA from 1 species
GACGAACGCUGGCGGCGUGCCUAAUACAUGCAAGUCGAGCGAAGUUUUUCUGGUGCUUGCACUAGAAAAACUUAGCGGCGAACGGGUGAGUAACACGUAAAGAACCUGCCUCAUAGACUGGGACAACUAUUGGAAACGAUAGCUAAUACCGGAUAACAGUAUUUCUCGCAUGAGAGAUAUUUAAAAGUUGGUUAUGCUAACACUAUGAGAUGGCUUUGCGGUGCAUUAGCUAGUUGGUGGGGUAAAGACCUACCAAGGCGACGAUGCAUAGCCGACCUGAGAGGGUGAUCGGCCACACUGGGACUGAGACACGGCCCAGACUCCUACGGGAGGCAGCAGUAGGGAAUCUUCCGCAAUGGGCGAAAGCCUGACGGAGCAACGCCGCGUGAGUGAAGAAGGAUUUCGGUUCGUAAAGCUCUGUUGUUAGGGAAGAAUGGAUAUGUAGUAACUAUACAUAUAAGAGACGGUACCUAACCAGAAAGCCCGGCUA